CUCUUAUGUGGAGCUCUUAUUUUAAAGUCCCUGGCUGAGAAAACAGGCUUUCAAUGUUCAUGAUGCUAUGACCACAUCAUGUUCUAUGCAUUUUAAAAGCCAAAAUUCUGUUUUAGGGAUUUAUUUAUAUAAAUUGCCACAGGCCCCACAGUUUUCACUACAUUGCAACUGCUCAAACUUGGAAACUGGAGUACAAGUUAAACUCCCUCCUUCUCACAUUCCUCCUCACAUUGCACCUAUCUUCAACCUCACAUUACAGAGGAAUGAAAGUAGCAUCUGACAACAGUUUUUUUCAUGACUUUCCUCCCCCCUACUCAACUCACCUGUUCCUCUCUUUUUUCAGAAAAAAUAUCUUCUGCCAAAAGUAUUUUGAAAACCAAAGUGAUUUGCCUCUACUUGAAAAAUCAACUUCUAAAUUACACUCAAAAGGUGCCUUGUUGUGAACUGCCCUAUGGAUAGAAACACAUGGUAACUUUGAUGCCUCUGGAUAGCAGCAAGUAUGCACUUAAAGCCUGCCAAAGUCCAUGUGAAGAAGCAUGGAAGUGGAUUAUCUUCCAAACACUCACUGACAUGGCUACAGCCUCACCCGACACUUUUACUGCAGUCUUCUGAGAGAUACUCCCUAAGCCAGGGGAUCCAGCUAAGCCAUUCCAAGAUUCUUGACCUAUAGAAACUGCAGUAUAAUAAAUGUUUGUUUUGCUAAGCCACAAAGUUUUGGGGUGAUGUUUUAUAUAAC
rnacentral:lncRNA from 1 species